UGGAAUGGAAAGGCCUGUGAUGGGUCAGAGCCAGAAUGGGCUUUCUGGCUGCACGUGUGUGUGAUGAGGGGCUUUAGGGAGGAGACGGCGCUGGGAACUUUGACUUAAUUUUUCCUUGACUGAUUAUGGUCUCCAAGAAGCAGGAUGGUCGUUUCUGCCUUGUAAGGCUCCUGUUCCAGAUCUCAUCUUCCCGCAAACACUAAGCAGUUGAAGCACCAGUUGUCAAAGUCAUCGUGUCACACCUUGCAAAGAACAGGUUUGAGGUCAUCAGCUGCGUGUUUCUAAUGCAGCUCCUUCACACCAGCAUGUGCAACUUCCCACCUCAAAUCUAUACCAGGAUUAUUGGAGGCCGGUCAAUAUAGAGUCUCAGGUGCUGCCCAGAUUCACAAGUCAGAGGUCUGGAAGUGAGCCAGAGGUGACACUUUUAACAGGCACCCCAGAUAAGAUCGAUGACAUGGAGUCACCUCUAAAAGUCAUGGGUUGCGUAAUGACUUUUCAGUCAACAAUGGAUUAACUAUACUUCGAUGCAUACCAGAAAGCCUAGGUAUGUACUAGGCUCUACCAU
rnacentral:lncRNA from 1 species